rnacentral:rRNA from 1 species
GUUAUUGGGUAUCAAAACCUAAUAGCGAAAUUAACAUAACUUAUUAUGGGAUUAGUUUUUAGAUUAUUUAUAGUCUAUUAAUUCAAUCCCGGGGCGUUCUAUUUGGUUAUGUAUAAUAAUAUUUAUAUUAUUUAUACCUCUAACUAGAGCGUACCUUGAGCAUAUAUGCUGUGACCCGAAAGAUGGUGAACUAUACUUGAUCAGGUUGAAGUCAGGGGAAACCCUGAUGGAAGACCGAAACAGUUCUGACGUGCAAAUCGAUUGUCAGAAUUGAGUAUAGGGGCGAAAGACCAAUCGAACCAUCUAGUAGCUGGUUCCCUCCGAAGUUUCCCUCAGGAUAGCUGGUGCAUUUAGAAAUUAUGUAAAAUAAUCUUAUCUGGUAAAGCGAAUGAUUAGAGGCCUUAGGGUCGAAACGACCUUAACCUAUUCUCAAACUUUAAAUGGGUAAGAACCUCACCUUUCUUGGUAUGAAGGUUGUGGUUGUGAUAUAAUGUGCCCAGUGGGCCACUUUUGGUAAGCAGAACUGGCGCUGUGGGAUGAACCAAACGUAAUGUUACGGUGCCCAAAUUAACAACUCAUGCAGAUACCAUGAAAGGCGUUGGUUGCUUAAAACAGCA